GGGAUAGAACUUUCAAUAUAUUUAUUAAGAUUCAAAGGAAUGGAUUAUGAACCUUGUCGAUCCUUAGGACGAAUUAUAGACGAGUUACUAGUCUUUCAUAUUGAGUCCUAGUCUAAUCUGAAAUUUCCUUUUUUCUAGUCCAAAUCGAGUCCUCCUGGAGCCCAUGUUCGAGUUUCCAAUUCCGAUUAAAUCUAUGUAUUGAAUGUUACUAAAGAAAACAGCACGCACAUUUAAUAGGUUGCACGAACCAUUCAAGUCAUGUAGUAAAAGAAGUUUUUGCGUGUUUACGACGGAUUUUUGGCUUCCACGAUGCUUUUAAUAGUGACGUCAUAGUGUAUAAGUAGUUGCGCGUUUUGUUUACAUUUUUUUUCUUAUGAAAAAAGAAACAAUUACAUUCUUGAUUCUACAAUUUGAGAAGGUCUUCAUUAUAUUAAAAGACAUUAAAACACAUUGAGGAUCUUCCACGUCGUAGUGAAGCAUAUGAAGCUAUGUCUCAGUUUCUACAAAGGAUUACUGUUAUGUAUUUAAUAUUUCCUUACAUGUUCUUAACUUCUUGUAUAUUCGUCUAUGUAUUAUAAGUACUGUGUUUUACGUAUUAUAAAUAGUCUCGUAUUGUGUAAAUAAAUUAGAGUAUAGUUAGAAUACACAUGAUCUUAUAAACAGUGUUACAUUAUUCCUCCACGUGAAUUAUUCUCCUCAUGUCUCUCGGUCAUCCUGGAUCUCUCCACCUUAUAAAUAAGUUUGUGUCUCUCCCUCGUCAAGACGCAACAAUUACUUUGCCGUAGUGGACUAGAGCGAGGAACAAAGAAGAUUGUCGGAUUUCACUCAAAUCCAUUAGGAAAAUUAAAUUGAAGGCUUAUUAGUUAUUCUUUGUUAACUCUUCACCCUUGUCAUCAUCAAUUCUAUCAUUCAAUCCAAGAACAAUUUAUUCAAUCAAUAUAUAUAUUGUAAUUAAUUAUAUUUGUAUUGACUCUCAUUUGUUAGGAUGGCUAUAAAUUAUCAUAAGCAUUCUUGAUCAAAUAGAAGAUACUAUAUGAAGACUCCUUGGAGAAUGUGUGGAGUUCAAUCUAACAAAAAAAAACGUGUUACUUCGUCACUACCGGCAUUAAAGAAUGGGACAUCGUGAUAAAGUGCAACAUAUUUCAAUAUACUAGGGAUCAUGAAUUUAAAAAAAAUCAUAAUAUCGAUCCAUCACAUAAAUGGUUCGUUAUCAAAAAAAUUCCCAUGAAACUUAAUGAAAUGCUUCUCUAUUUUGUUGCAAAAUUCCAAAAAAGAUUAAGAUGGUUGAAGCAGUCCCUCUCUUGACAAUGUUUUAAGCCAUGGACUUGGAGGAACUUGGGUACUGAAAGUAUUACACCCCAGAGUGAAAAAAUUUUGACACAACGAUUUGACCACAUAUCCAGCAACAUAAAUAAAUCUUUCAUCUUCACAGAUUUUGGGAAGAUGUAAAUCAUUAGUUGGUUGUUCUAUUGAUAAAUUGUACCAUCAAAGUCUUGAUAAAAUUAUAUGUAAUCUUCUUAAUCUACUUUGCUCAAAAUA
rnacentral:lncRNA from 1 species